UUUUAGUUUGAUUUAGAUAGAAAGAAUUAUUGUCAUUCUUUGAAUUCCUUAAUUUAGUGAGAAUUGGUGAGGUACAUAGCUUUGAUUGUAAAAGUGAGCACUCAAAGUGUUUGUGAAAAUGUCUCAAUAUGAAAAUUGAUGGUUUUGUGGUCUUAUUUUUUGUGCUUUACUAAACCAUCAUUUAUAUGCAAUUAGUGAAAGAAUUAGUGAAAACUGAUAAUUUGUUAGCUUUUACUUCAGUAACUUUAAGUAUUUAUAAAAAUGGUCUCUUCUCCAUCGUAUUUUUUUAAUGAUUUAUUUAAACACUUUGACAGGAAAAAAAAGAAGAGAAAGAAUAUUUCCCCUUUCUACUUGCUGUUCAUCUCUUCCAUCUCUCCAUCUUCACAAAAACUUCCAUUUUGGUGAAAAAUAAAAAAAGUUGUGCAAAUUUGACUAAUUUACCAAUGCUUUCAAAUUUCAAAAUCCCUCCAAAAAUUUCAAAAACAACUAUUAUCUUUGUGACUAUUCUCUUUCCUCCAUUUCAUCUACAAGGAUUCUCCCUCUUUGUUUUUUUUCUUUUUCUCAUCCAUCUCUGUUUUUCACCUUACAAUAAGGAACGAAGAAGCAGUGCAGUGGCGACCUCCAGUUUGAGGGUAAGGGUUUCCAAAUUUUGUCUUCUUUUAAUCUGAUAUUGCUUCUUCCUUCUACUCACAUCAUAUUUUAUUUGUGCAUAUGUCGACUCAGAGUUUGGUGGUUGAUGAAAGUGGUAUGUCAUUUAACAUUCCAAGUUUGAGUUUUUAUUUAUUGUUAAUUAUAAUUUCUACAAGUUUAUAUUGCUUCUGUUUGUGUUUAUUUUUCCAUAAAAUAAUAUAACUUUGGAUCUAUGGGUUUUAUUGUUCAUUAGAUGAUUUUGUUGUUUUUUAAAUGCAGAGAUUUUGUUGAUUUUCAAAGUUGGAUCCUUUACCGCUAGAAAAGGCAGACAAACAGGGGUAAGAGCUUAAUUUUUUUGCUAAUGAUAAUUAUUUUCAUGUUUCUUCAUCAAAUUGUAGUUUCAAAUCAUAUCAUUUAUGAAUUUUGGAUAUGCAAUUUCAUAAAUCAAUUGAAGUGUAAAUGUUGCUGCAGUUUUUGAAUUUAUUCUCCACUUAAUUGGUGCAAUUCCACAUCAAACACUUUUGUAGCACAAGCAAAAGCUAGAUAUAAUAACAAAACGAGGUGUAGUCUUGGCUAAAAAAAGGUAUAUACUAGAUCUAAUUUUUUUUCUUCCAUUCAUAUAACAAUCUUGGCUAACAAAUGAUAUGAGUUUUGAGCUUUGAUAAUAGAUUGCUAUCUGCAUAUCUAAUAAGUUUAUGACUAAUAUCAGUAGAUUACUAUACUGCAAUAGGCAGAUUAUUUUUAAGACAGACAUUAUAGCAUGUUAUCACGAUUAAUGUUCUUACUUUUCAUUUUAUUUCUCAAUUUAAGCCAUUAAUAGCUUUUAUAUAGAUGAUAGUUUCUUUGAAUGUGAAUAUUUUGUUCACCUGUGUUAAUGAUUUCAUGGUUCAUACUGACAAAUUACUCUCAUGAUUUCAUGGAGGAAGGAGCAGCAAAGCCAGAUUUAGCACACACAUGUGCAUAUACUUUUAUCUAUUUUUUGGUAUUUCAAGGACCAACCAUGUGUAUAGUCACUGCUUGGAGGUUUAUAUAUCUAUUUUCUCUUGAAUUUGUAACUUUUAGAUACGUUUUUGAGAUUACCAAACCUUAAAUUAAUUUCCUCCAAUAUUUGAUAUGUGAUAAUUUUAGACCUGAUGUUUUUUCCCCUCUGUCUGUCUUUAUGCCUUUUCUUUAUCAGUAAUUUUUUAUUUUGAAUUUGGGAUUCUAUUAGCUAGCUUAGGUUUUGAAUUUGUAAUAUGAAUUAGCUCACUUAAGUUGUAGCAUGAAAACAAUUUCAAAUUAGGAAACAUUUUAUUAGGAGAAUUGUUGCUCUGUCAUUGUGUGUGAUAUGACAGACCAGAAAAUUAUUUGGAAUCUUUCCCUUCUUUCUUAGUUUGAACUCUCUUCCUUACUCAACUUCGCAAAAAGACCCAUUUUAGUGAAUAUGUCUACUCUGCCAAAUUGCAAGCAUGAACAAAUUCAAAUGUCUAAAUCCCUCCAAAAAUUUCAAAAACAAUGCUCAACAAUAGGCAAUAGCAGCCGUAAAGUACAAAGAUUCUGUCAAACUUCUCUCUCCUCUUCCCCAUACUCAUUCCUUUGAAAAUUCAAAUCCAAGAUUCUCUGACACUUCUCUCUCACCAAAUUGUUCAAAUUUUCUUUGUAUGGAUUUUACAUGUAUAAGCAUGAAGAUACUUUUAAUAGGGUAAAUUAAUGUGUGCAUUUUUUUUUAGGUUUACGAAAUUUCUCAAAUAUCAAUUGAAAAUUUGGUUUGGAUUUUGGUGUUGUUUGAUUCUGGUGUUAUGAAGCACACUACAUUUAGUAGUUCUCUCCUUCUCCUCACCAUUUAGUAGUUGUUGGAUUUUGGUGUUAUUUGACUUUGAACUUGGAUAAUUGAAUUGAAAACUUUACCUGACUACUAUUUCUUUAUUCUUGGUUAUAUUUUGAUUCAACAAUAUGAUUAAGUUCAUUAAUAUUAUGAUUUGUUUCUAUCUUUUAGUUAAUAAUCCAUACUUCUUAGGAGUUGUUAGUGGGAUGAUUCUGAGUAUCAGCAACAUAAACAUUCCCUCUAUCAUCCAUGGUGAUGCCUUUAGGAAAAUUAAACCGAGCAUCACUUUGUUUUCCAUACACAUUACCAAGUGAAUCAAAAUAAAAUCAUUAUGAUUUUAAUUAAUCCAAAAUUCUACUUGUGAGAUAACUUUCAUCUAUUAAUGUUAUUGUCAGAAACAUAAUAGUUAUAUACAUAAUUAUAAAUAUUAAUUGAAGUUAAAUAGUUCACAAAUCACUCCCCUUAGUUAGACACCGUGAAAUGUGAGAGAAAACACUUCAGGAUAUUCUCAUGAAUCAUGAUUCAUGCAUGAUGUAUGUNNNNN
rnacentral:lncRNA from 1 species